CGAGUGGCGGACGGGUGAGUAAUGCGUAGGAAUCUGUCCUGGAGAGUGGGAUAACCCGAGGAAACUCAGGCUAAUACCGCAUGAUAUCGAGAGAUCAAAGGCAGGGGACCCUUCGGGGCCUUGCGCUCUAUGAUGAGCCUACGUCGGAUUAGCUAGUUAGUGGGGUAAAAGCCUACCAAGGCGACGAUCCGUAGCUGGUCUGAGAGGAUGACCAGCCACACUGGGACUGAGACACGGCCCAG
rnacentral:rRNA from 1 species